UAACAAGGAUUCCCCUAGUAACGGCGAGUGAAGAGGGAAGAGCUCAAAUUUGAAAGCUGGUACCUUCGGUAUCCGCGUUGUAACCUCGAGACACGUUUUCCGUGCGGCGCUAUGGACAAGUUCCUUGGAACAGGACAUCGUAGAGGGUGAAAAUCCCGUACUUGCCAUGGAUGUACCGUGCUUUGCGAUACGUGCUCUAAGAGUCGAGUUGUUUGGGAUUGCAGCUCAAAAUGGGUGGUAGACUCCAUCUAAAGCUAAAUAUCGGGGAGAGACCGAUAGCGAACAAGUACCGUGAGGGAAAGAUGAAAAGCACUUUGGAAAGAGAGUUAAAAGUACGUGAAAUUGUCGAAAGGGAAGCGCUUGAAGUCAGCCAUGCCGCUCAGGACUCAGCCUGGCUUUUGCUUGGUGUAUUUCCUGGGUAGCAAGUCAGCAUUGGUUUGGAUCGUCGGAGAAGCAUAGUUGGAAUGUGGCGCCCUCGGGCGUGUUAUAGCCUUCUAUUGGAUACGACGAUCUAGACCAAGGAACGCAGCGCGCCUUAUGGCGGGUCUUCGGACACCUUCGCGCUUAGGAUGCUGGCGUAAU
rnacentral:rRNA from 1 species